CAUAAGAAGAGCGAGGCGGUGGCGGCGCUGACCCCACGGACCCUGGCGCGGGGGCGGCUGCGACCUCGGCCCCGUGACGCGUGUGCUGGGGGGAGGGGGGGGAGUGGGUGACUCGGGGGUGCGGCGUGCCAGACCCCCCCACCCCUCCCCUCCCCUCCCCUCCCCCACUCACCUUUGUUGCCUUGGCCCUUGGGUCUCUGCAGCGGCGGCGGAGGAGGAGGCGGCGGCGGCGGCGCGGACAUGCAAGAGAAAAGGCAGAGGCGGCGCUAUGAAUCUUAUCCUACGAAUCGAUGACUCUUUUCAUACCAAAAAUUAGUUACAGGUUUUUCUGGAGUCUCGUCUGCUUUCUUAAAGAAAGUGUCCAAGGAAGCCUGGGCAGAUGUUCUCCAGGGAGAUGGGCGAUGUAACGAACUUGUUCGCUGGCACGGUGUGGCAUUGGAUCAAGUGUUGUAAAGUCAAAACUGAUGUCAGAAAGUUGAAACAGGGUGUCAAUUUAUAAAGGUUGUAUAUGCAAAACAUUGUAACUCAACAUGUUGUAAAUUGAGGACUGCC